GACGGAGGGUGCUAGCGUUGUUCGGAAUUACUGGGCGUAAAGGGCGCGUAGGCGGCUGCUCAAGUCGGGUGUGAAAGCCCGGGGCUCAACCCCGGAACGGCACCCGAGACUGGGCGGCUCGAGACCGGGAGACGUGGGUGGAAUACCCAGUGUAGAGGUGAAAUUCGUAGAUAUUGGGUGGAACACCGGUGGCGAAAGCGGCUCACUGGCCCGGUUCUGACGCUGAGGCGCGAAAGCGUGGGGAGCAAACAGG
rnacentral:rRNA from 1 species